GACGAACGCUGGCGGCGUGCCUAAUACAUGCAAGUCGAACGCACGAAGUUGAAGAGCUUGCUCUUUAACCAAGUGAGUGGCGGACGGGUGAGUAACACGUGGGUAACCUGCCCAUUAGAGGGGGAUAACAUUCGGAAACGGAUGCUAAUACCGCAUAGUUUCAGGGAUCGCAUGAUUCUUGAAGGAAAGGUGGCUUCGGCUACCACUAAUGGAUGGACCCGCGGCGUAUUAGCUAGUUGGUGAGGUAAUGGCUCACCAAGGCAAUGAUACGUAGCCGACCUGAGAGGGUGAUCGGCCACACUGGGACUGAGACACGGCCCAGACUCCUACGGGAGGCAGCAGUAGGGAAUCUUCCGCAAUGGACGAAAGUCUGACGGAGCAACGCCGCGUGAGUGAAGAAGGUUUUCGGAUCGUAAAACUCUGUUGUUAAAGAAGAACAAGGAUGAGAGUAACUGCUCAUCCCCUGACGGUAUUUAACCAGAAAGCCACGGCUAACUACGUGCCAGCAGCCGCGGUAAUACGUAGGUGGCAAGCGUUGUCCGGAUUUAUUGGGCGUAAAGCGAGCGCAGGCGGUUCUUUAAGUCUGAUGUGAAAGCCCCCGGCUCAACCGGGGAGGGUCAUUGGAAACUGGAGAACUUGAGUGCAGAAGAGGAGAGUGGAAUUCCACGUGUAGCGGUGAAAUGCGUAGAUAUGUGGAGGAACACCAGUGGCGAAGGCGACUCUCUGGUCUGUAACUGACGCUGAGGCUCGAAAGCGUGGGGGAGCAAACAGG
rnacentral:rRNA from 1 species